rnacentral:rRNA from 1 species
CCUACGGGAGGCUGCAGUGAGGAAUAUUGGUCAAUGGGCGUAAGCCUGAACCAGCCAAGUCGCGUGAGGGAUGAAGGUUCUAUGGAUCGUAAACCUCUUUUAUAAGGGAAUAAAGUGCGGGACGUGUCCCGUUUUGUAUGUACCUUAUGAAUAAGGAUCGGCUAACUCCGUGCCAGCAGCCGCGGUAAUACGGAGGAUCCGAUCGUUAUCCGGAUUUAUUGGGUUUAAAGGUUACGUAGGCGGCCUUUUAAGUCAGCGGGGAAAGUCUGUGGCUCAAACAUAGCAUUGCCGUUGAAACUGGGAGGCUUGAGUAUGUUUGAGGAAGGCGGAAUGCGUGGUGUAGCGGUGAAAUGCUUAGAUAUCACGCAGAACACCGAUUGCGAAGGCAGCCUGCCAAGCCAUGACUGACGCUGAUGCACGAAAGCGUGGGGAUCAAACAGGAUUAGAUACCCGUGUAGUC